rnacentral:lncRNA from 1 species
GGCCUGAGAGGAGAUCAUGUCUACCACUUCUAGGGAAGAAUAACUUAGUUACCAUUUGAUGUACUAUCCUCAUCUCAAUGGAAAGGAUCUUGGCCUCUAAUUUGUUUAGGCUUCCCGAGAAGGCUCUUCCUAGAAUUAUAUUAAUUCCCUCCUCCUUAACUGGGAGUUCCAUAUUUGAGUAUCCCUCUCAGGGUAAAUGAAGAAUUUCUCCCAAAAGCAUAGGAUCUAGACUGAUAUCUAUACCCCUUACAGUGGAUCUUACUGUUUCAUUGCCAUAGCUCAAGUUCAGAUAAAAUUUCCUAACCAGAUCCACAUAGGUAUUUUCUUUAAGUGAGCAGUAGAAUUCCCAACCUUGAUCCUUGAUUUUU